UAAUCAGCUAUGUGUGGAGAACACUAUUG
rnacentral:piRNA from 1 species